UGUGAUGAUUCUGCCAAAUGAUACAUAGU
rnacentral:piRNA from 1 species